UACGUAGGCGGAAAAUUAAGUCAGUAGUGAAAUCCUGCAGCUUAACUGUAGAACUGUUAUUGAUACUGGUUUUCUUGAAUGUAGUUGAGGUAGGCGGAAUAUGUAAUGUAGCGGUGAAAUGCUUAGAUAUUACAUAGAACACCGAUUGCGAAGGCAGCUUACUAAGCUACGAUUGACGCUGAGGUACGAAAGCGUGGGGAGCGAACAGGAUUAGAUACCCUGGUAGUCCC
rnacentral:rRNA from 1 species